AUGUAUGCGAUGAAAAAGAAGAGUACAUAUUGCAACAAUUUCAGAGAGCUUGUGGUCGGUGCGAACAAGUAAUUGUACAGUAUGGAAUGGGCUUUUGAGCACCAAACCGAACCGAAAGAAGUAGGCUUUGGCGUUAUAUCCAGACGUUAUAAUGGAGAAAAGAGAUUUCACGAUUUGUGAAAUAAUUAGGGUGGUACCGCGGUCCAUUCGUCCCUAUA
rnacentral:ncRNA from 1 species